rnacentral:rRNA from 1 species
CGCUGGCGGCGUGCUUAACACAUGCAAGUCGAACGAUGAAGCCGCUUCGGUGGUGGAUUAGUGGCGAACGGGUGAGUAACACGUGGGCAAUCUGCCCUUCACUCUGGGACAAGCCCUGGAAACGGGGUCUAAUACCGGAUACGACACAGGACCGCAUGGUCUCUGUGUGGAAAGCUCCGGCGGUGAAGGAUGAGCCCGCGGCCUAUCAGCUUGUUGGUGGGGUGAUGGCCUACCAAGGCGACGACGGGUAGCCGGCCUGAGAGGGCGACCGGCCACACUGGGACUGAGACACGGCCCAGACUCCUACGGGAGGCAGCAGUGGGGAAUAUUGCACAAUGGGCGAAAGCCUGAUGCAGCGACGCCGCGUGAGGGAUGACGGCCUUCGGGUUGUAAACCUCUUUCAGCAGGGAAGAAGCGAAAGUGACGGUACCUGCAGAAG